rnacentral:rRNA from 1 species
UACAGAGGUCCCAAGCGUUGUUCGGAUUCAUUGGGCGUAAAGGGUGCGUAGGCGGCGCGGUAAGUCGGGUGUGAAAUCUCGGAGCUUAACUCCGAAACUGCAUUCGAUACUGCCGUGCUUGAGGACUGGAGAGGAGACUGGAAUUUACGGUGUAGCGGUGAAAUGCGUAGAUAUCGUGAGGAAGACCAGUUGCGAAGGCGGAUCUCUGGGCAGUUCCUGACACUGAGGCACGAAGGCCAGGGGAGCAAACGGG